rnacentral:rRNA from 1 species
AUUGAACGCUGGCGGCAUGCCUAACACAUGCAAGUCGAACGCGAAAGAGGGGCAACCCUUGAGUAGAGUGGCGGACGGGUGAGUAAUACGUAGGAAUCUUCCUUAGAGUGGGGGAUAACCCGAGGAAACUCGGGCUAAUACCGCAUAAUCUUUACGAAGCAAAGGUAGCUAGCAAUAGCUAUCGCUUUAAGAUGAGCCUACGCCGGAUUAGCUAGUUGGUAGGGUAAUGGCCUACCAAGGCAACGAUCCGUAGCUGGUUUGAGAGCACGACCAGCCACACUGGGACUGAGAUGCGGCCCAGACUCCUACGGGAGGCAGCAGUGGGGAAUAUUGGACAAUGGGGGAAACCCGGAUCCAGCGAUGCCGCGUGUGCGAUGAAGGCCUGCGGGUUGUAAAGCACUUUCGUUGGGGAAGAAAUACUCAAAGCUAAUACCUUUGAGAGUUGACGUUACCCAAAGAAGAAGCACCGGCUAACUCUGUGCCAGCAGCCGCAGUAA